rnacentral:rRNA from 1 species
GACGUAGGGCGCGAGCGUUGUCCGGAUUUAUUGGGCGUAAAGAGCUCGUAGGCGGUUCGGUAAGUCGGGUGUGAAAACUCUGGGCUCAACUCAGAGAGGCCACCCGAUACUGCCGUGACUUGAGUCCGGUAGGGGAGCACGGAAUUCCUGGUGUAGCGGUGAAAUGCGCAGAUAUCAGGAAGAACACCUAUGGCGAAGGCAGCUCUCUGGGACGGUACUGACGCUGAGACGCGAAAGCGUGGGGAGCGAACAGG